GGUUGCAGUGAGCUGAGAUCCUACGACUGCAUUCCAGCCUGGGCGACAGAGCGACACUCUGUCUAAAAAAAUAAAAAAGCGGGGGUCAGGGGAGAUGUAUAGUAAUCAAUAUCUUCUCCAACACUUGACGUUUGAAACUUCUUAAUUUUGAUCAAAUGAGUGUUUAUUUUGUCAUUGAUACUAAGGAUUCUACAUUGCUGCAAAGCUAGUAAACUUUAAAGCACAGAAACCCUAAGAAGUAGUUUGCCAUCCUAACUUACUACAUCACUGUCUUUAUAAUACCCAGGAUGUCUUGAAACUUUUACCUUACAAUUCUGUGACUUGAGUGAGGCCAGGAUUAUUAGGAAUUGGUAUGACAUAUUCAGGAACAUGCAACAAAUGAUUUAUUAAGUGCCUACUAUGGCCAGUCACUUAAUAUUUGGCCAACAGCAGUAAGUAAGACAGAUCCCUUUCUCCCUUUGUUUAUGAAGCUUGCAUAUUCUUUGGGGAGACAGACAAUAAGUAAGUUAUAUAAAUGAAAUAGUUAAUUUUAGAUAGGGGUAAGUGCUAAGGAGUAAAUAAAACUGAAUGAGUGAUAGAGAAUGACCAGGUUUCGAGAGGUGAAAGAAAAACGGGGCUUCCGGGUCUACAAUUCCAGUGAGGCACCAUUAACAUUACAAUCUAUAAGAACAGCACUUUCUGAGUUAUGGAGUGCAACAGCCCUGAGCAAAAGCCUCUGCAAACCUGAUGGUUUGAGUUAAUGCCUAAAGUAUGGGAAUGAGCCAGCCCUAGAGAAAUCUGGAAGAAAAGCGUUGCAGAGAAAACAGGAAGUCUAAAGGAACCAAGAUUGUAAAGAUCAUAGUGGUUAAGAGUGUGGGCUCUGGGGACAUAAAGUCCAGGUUUAGGCCGGGCGCAGUGGCUCACACCUGUAAUCCCAGCACUUUGGGAGGCCGAGGCGGGCAGAUCACCUGAGGUCAGGAAUUCUAAACCAGCCUGGCCAACAUAGUAGAGAUGAAACUCCAUCUCUACUAAAAAUACAAAAAUUAGGCCAGGCAUGGUGGCUAACACCUGUAAUCCAAGAACUUUGGGAGGCCAAGGUGGGGAAAUCACGUGGUCAGGAGUUCGAAACCAGACUGGCCAACAUGGUGAAACCCCGUCUCUACUAAAAAUACAAAAAAAUUAGCUGGGUGUAGUGGCAGGCACCUGUAAUCCCAGCUACUCGGGAGGCUAAGGCAAGAGAAUCACUUGAACCCGGGAGGUGGAGGUUGCAGUAAGCUGAGAUCAUGCCACUGCACUCCAGCCAGGGUGACAGAGUGAUUCUGUCUCAAAAAAACAAAAACAAACAACAACAACAAAAUACAAAAAUUAGCCAGGAGUAGUGGCGGGCACCUGUAAUCUCAGCUAUUCAGGAGGCAGAAGCAGAAGAAUCGCUUGAACCCAGGAAGUGGAGGUUGCUGUGAGCUGAGAUUGCGCCACCGCACUCCAGCCUGGGCGACAGAGCGAGACUGCGUCUCAAAAACAAGAAUAAAUAAAUGAAGUCCAGGUUUAGAUUCCUGCUGUAACACUCAGGAGCACAUCCAGUUACUCAGUCUCUCCAGGCAUCAGUUUCCUUAUCUGUAAAAGGGGGAUAACAGUACCUACUCUAUUUGACUACUGUGAGGGUUAAAUUAGAUGAUGCAGGUAAAAUGCUUAUCCCUGUGCCUGACCCAUAAUACCUAAUCAAUAAUUGAAUGUUUCUCUUGUUUUCGUACCUACUAAACAAAAGAGAAAAUGCACUCUAGAGAAGUGAUUUGCCCCAAAACUCACACCAACUAAUGUGUAGCUGGGACUAAAAUUCAUGCUCAGAAAUUCUCAGCCCAAUGCUUUUCUUCAGCCCAUCUUCUACACCUUAGUUUUCUCAUUUUUAAGUGGGAUAAUAAUCUCAUGUGAAGUAUUGUAGUAAUCUCUUAUUAAGGCUAAUGAAUGAAUACAUGUAAAGCUUUAGUACAGUAUCUGGCACCUAGUAGGUGCUCCUAAAUUAACUAUAGGUAUUGUUAUCAUUAUUAAUACUAUAUUAUGUUAAUUACCUGUCAUCUUGGCAGGCCCACACUAAUGCACAAGAACAUUACAUUGUCUAUACGUUUAUAUCUUCACCAGCAAUAUGCAUUUUAGCUGUUCUAAUUAUCAUAAGACAAUAAUAAAAGUGUGAUAUAGUUUGUCUCUGUGUCCCCACUCAAAUCUCAUCUGGAUUUCUAAUCCCCACAUUUCAAAAGAGGGAGGUGAUUGGAUCAUGGGAGUGGUUUCCCCCAUGCUGUUCUCGCGAUAGCGAGUGAGUUUUCAUGAGAUCUGACGGCUUUAUAAGGCGCUCUUCCCCCUUUGCUUUCUCUUCUCCCUCCUGCCGCCUUAUGAACAGGGUGACUGUUUCCCCAUCGGCCAUGAUUUUAAGUUUCCUGAGGCCUCCCCAGUCAUGCUGAACUAUACUGUUCCUAAGAGCAUCUGCCCCAGUCAACUUCUCAUCCACAGAUAUUAAUCUCAGUCAACCUCCAGAUUUUUAGACAUAUUUUGAAAGUCUUUCAUCACCAGAUUUCAAAGGUGUUGAUAGAUAUCUAUUUUUAAACAUGGAAAGAUGGUGGUGCAAUGGCCAGUGAGUACAAAAAGUUAAAAAAUUGUAAAAAGUAUGAGCCCAUCCUUAGAAAACAUUCAUAGAGAUUUUUACAUAGAGAGGAAAUUGUUUUAUACAAAAGUGAUUAUUAACAGUAGCUGCUUGGGAGGUUGAAUUGUGAGUGAUUUUUUUUCUUUUGUUUCCCCUUUUGUAAUUUUCCAUAAUAAACAUGGAUUAUUUGGCCGAAAAUAUAAAAACCUAUUUAAAAAUCAUAUAAAUCUGAAUGAAACAUUUCAAUACGAAGCAGGAAUAGUGUUAGUCUUUUUCAAUACUAUUUCAGUAUCUUUUUAAAUUCAUCAGCUUUGACUUAAAGUCAUAUUUUAUAGAUAAGCUUUUUUUUUUUUUUUUUUUUUAGCCUGUUGGCAAAAUCAGUCUGGGGUAGGCUUCUGUCUUCUGUAGAGCUAUCUGAUUUCCAGAAAUGAAAGGCUCUUCCCAAUAAUGAGGCUGUCAAUGGAAAGGGAGCAGAGAAUGUGGUUCUCUUUCAUUGGAGCCUUCCAAAACAUUGCAAGUAGUUUGAGGAGUUGAAAUGGCUUAGAUGAUGUCUUGCCUGGAAACAGAAAAUAGAGAUGAUCUUGCAAAUGCUUUCCAGUGGAUGAUUCUAUUAUUUUGUAUGAGUGUCCCCUGGCUGGAAUUAGCUCUUAUUUUUUCCACUACCUCAUUAUAGAAAACUUAACUAACUCCAGAUGAAGAAUUUCACAGCUUCAACUCUUUUAGAGUUGAUCUUGUUAACGGGUCUUUCUAGAAUUGACCAGGUAAAAAAAUAUACAAAAUUUAGUGUGGAUACCAAGAAAUUAUGAACUCUGAAGACAUCACAACAGCCCCUUUUCUGGGCAAAUUUGCAAGAAAAUGCCACACCAAAAAGAUCAACUGUGUGUAGAAGUGGUUGCUGUUGUACAAUAAAAAAGUUUGGAAAAACAAAAAGAAUACUCUUGAGACUCCAGGAAAAUUCCACUUGCAUACAUCAUAGAAUUAUUAAAACAGGAAAGACAGUGUAAGGUCAUCCAAAUCAAUUUCUUUCUUUCAGUUAGUCCCCCAGACUUGGUGAUGACCAACAGUCAUUUUCACUGUGAAGUUUAAUUGUACCAAUACGUACACUAUACUUAAUAUUUUGAAAGACAGCUUUUUUUUCUAAAACAUGAUUCAGGUUUAGUAGAAUCCCACACCCUCAUCAACAGAAUUGUUUUCUUCUCCAAGAUGUAGUUGUGUUUAGGUGUUCAAUAAAAUAACUGAAAGUCCUUUCAGUGUUACAAAUGAAUAUUAAUUGGUCCCUAGUAGUAAGUCAACUAUGCUACAUGUACUCAUUCCAAAAAUCAGACAGAUACAUUUAUUUCGAUCGUUGAUUUGAAAUCUCUUAGUUGAAAGUGCAUUUUUGUUCUGUGUAGUAAGGAAAGAUUUUUAAAUCGUGUUCAAUUCUAUCAUCACAGACACUCAUAAAUUAUUUCAUUAUCACAAGUGCCGACAGAUCAAACUUGGCAGGUUCACUUCACAGAGGUUUGGAAUGAGCUGAAGGUUCAUCAUCAUCUAUCCUCUAGUUUAAGGCUGAGUCCCUGUGCAGAAUACCUCUAAGCAAGGAAUAUAUCUAACCCUUUAUGGUCCUGGAUCUUCCUCUGGAUUUCUGAAUGGAAAUGUUUUGUGUUGUUUGAGAUAUUAAGCCAAUUAAUUAUGCUGCAAGUUGGCCCUCAUACUGGUGAGGUAGUGCCUCCUAGGGACUGGCUACAUCAUCACAAAUCUCCUUUUUCUUAUUUAAUUUCUUCAUGCCUCCAUUUCUUUUUCUAAAUGGAUGUUACUACAUGCUCUUCCUAUAUUUAUAGGUUUGUGAUAAAAAUCAUGCGUGAUAGUUUAUUUCAGGAAGCUUUGAAAGUGAAAUGGCUAUCUCAUAAAAAUUAUUCUUAUUAUCACUCUUAGAGGCAAGAUUUUCAUAAGAAAACCUUCUGAGAAAGUCAGAUAUGGAUGCUUGA
rnacentral:lncRNA from 1 species